CCUACGGGAGGCAGCAGUAGGGAAUAUUGGGCAAUGGGCGCAAGCCUGACCCAGCAACGCCGCGUGAAGGAAGAAGGCUCUCGGAUUGUAAACUUCUUUUGUUAAGGACGAAACUAAUGACAGUAAUCGAUGAAGAACCCACUGCCAACUACGCGCCAGCAGCCGCGGUAAUACGGAGGCGGCAAGCGUUAUCCGGAUUUACUGGGAGUAAAGGGGGUGUAGGGGGGACAGCAAGUCAGAUGUGAAAACCUUGGGCUUAACACAUGAACUGCAUUUGAAACUGUAGUUCUUGAGUGUGGGAGAGGCAGGCGGAAUUCCGUGUGUAGCGGUGAAAUGCGUAGAUAUAAGGAGGAAUACUCGUGGCGAAGGCGGCCUGCUGGACAAUAACUGACGCUGAGGCGCGAAAGCGUGGGGAGCAAACAGGAUUAGAUACCCGAGUAGUC
rnacentral:rRNA from 1 species